rnacentral:tRNA from 1 species
GUCCAGGUCGCCAAGUGGUUGAAGGCAUUGGUCUGCAAAACCAACAGCGUGGGUUCAAUUCCCACCCUGGACU